UACGGAGGGUGCAAGCGUUAUCCGGAUUUACUGGGUUUAAAGGGUGUGUAGGCGGGCAUUUAAGUCAGAGGUGAAAUCCCCGGGCUCAACCCGGAAACUGCCUUUGAUACUAUUUGUCUUGAAUUUCGUUGAGGUUGGCGGAAUAUAUCAUGUAGCGGUGAAAUGCGUAGAUAUGAUAUAGAACACCGAUUGCGAAGGCAGCUGGCUGAACGAACAUUGACGCUGAGGCACGAAAGCGUGGGUAGCGAACAGG
rnacentral:misc_RNA from 1 species